UACAUAGUGGGGGAGUAACAGUCGGAAACGACUGCUAAUACCGCAUAGGACAUAGGAUCACAUGAUCCAGUGAGGAAAGGUGGCGCAAGCUAUCGCUAAGAGAUGGACCCGCGGUGCAUUAGCUAGUUGGUAGGGUAAAGGCCUACCAAGGCGAUGAUGCAUAGCCGACCUGAGAGGGUGAUCGGCCACAUUGGGACUGAGACACGGCCCAA
rnacentral:rRNA from 1 species